UAAACCCUCUGAGGAAACGUGAUGAAAUUUCGGAUCAUACAACUGAUCAUCAUGAACCUUUCCUACAAGCUGUAGUAAUCUUAAGCUCCGCCCACAGUGUAUGGAGAUUUAGACAUGACAGGAACAGGAUCAUGUUCAAGCCAUUCACACAGGCAUCGUGUGGUCAGCAGAUCAGAUCAUGGAAUGUUUCACAUCCAGUCCUGUAAUGAUGCAACACUGCAGGCUGAUAAUGACCAUACUCAGCGUCAUGGCUGCUGUUGCAUCAUCACUGGAUCUGGACUGUGAUAAAAGUUUGCACAACCAACAGCACUGGAUGCAGGACGUGGACCAGUUUAAAUCGACUCUGAGGAACGUGGGAAUACACCCAGGAUGGGAAGUGGUAGGAUCUAUCAGCAUGGGUUUGGGAGGUGGAAGGAACCAGGAUUAAACAUGUCUGUGAAUCAAACCCCUGGAGCUGUGAGGUCUCAGUGGACAUAUCAGUGGUCAGUUAUGUAGCUGCAGGACAUCUGAUCUGUGUAUAAAUGGCAGAGAUGGGCGUGUCUUCACCAUAUGGAAAGCCACCAGAACCGUGCUGUUUCAAACUCCAGAUGAGAAGAAUUCCUGUCAAGGUGAUUGACUCGUAUAAAAGAAACGUGCACGAAAGCCGGAAUCAUUUUUACUCUGAAGAACGGUCUUCGCAUGUGUGCUGACCCUGGACAUCACUGGGUGCAGAAGUGUGUGGAAAAACUGGACCAGCGCAUGACUGAAAGCCUGAUUAAAAACCAAACGAGUGGCUAACAAAAUGGACUGAAACUUAGACAAACGUUUGCUUGAAUUA